CACGUAGGGCGCAAGCGUUGUCCGGAAUUAUUGGGCGUAAAGAGCUCGUAGGCGGUCUGUUGCGUCCGCUGUGAAAACUCGGGGCUUAACCCCGAGCCUGCAGUGGAUACGGGCAGACUAGAGGUAGGUAGGGGAGAAUGGAAUUCCCGGUGUAGCGGUGAAAUGCGCAGAUAUCGGGAGGAACACCGGUGGCGAAGGCGGGUCUCUGGGGCCGAUAC
rnacentral:rRNA from 1 species